UAGGGAAUCUUCCGCAAUGGACGCAAGUCUGACGGAGCAACGACGCGUGAGUGAAGAAGGAUUUCGGUUCGUAAAACUCUGUUGUUAGAGAAGAACAGCGCAUAGAGUAACUGUUAUGCGUGUGACGGUAUCUAACCAGAAAGCCACGGCUAACUACGUGCCAGCAGCCGCGGUAAUACGUAGGUGGCAAGCGUUGUCCGGAUUUAUUGGGCGUAAAGCGAGCGCAGGCGGUCAAUUAAGUCUGAUGUGAAAGCCCCCGGCUCAACCGGGGAGGGUCAUUGGAAACUGGUUGACUUGAGUGCAGAAGAGGGGAGUGGAAUUCCAUGUGUAGCGGUGAAAUGCGUAGAUAUAUGGAGGAACACCGGUGGCGAAAGCGGCUCUCUGGUCUGUCACUGACGCUGAGGCUCGAAAGCGUGGGGAGCGAACAGG
rnacentral:rRNA from 1 species